GGGGCUAUAGCUCAGCUGGGAGAGCGCCUGCUUUGCACGCAGGAGGUCAGCGGUUCGAUCCCGCUUGCCUCCACCA
rnacentral:tRNA from 1 species